rnacentral:rRNA from 1 species
GUGACUGCGUACCUUUUGUAUAAUGGGUCAGCGACUUAUAUUCUGUAGCAAGGUUAACCGAAUAGGGGAGCCGGAGGGAAACCGAGUCUUAACCGGGCGUUAAGUUGCAGGGUAUAGACCCGAAACCCGGUGAUCUAGCCAUGGGCAGGUUGAAGGUUGGGUAACACUAACUGGAGGACCGAACCGACUAAUGUUGAAAAAUUAGCGGAUGACCUGUGGCUGGGGGUGAAAGGCCAAUCAAACCGGGAGAUAGCUGGUUCUCCCCGAAAGCUAUUUAGGUAGCGCCUCGUGAAUUCAUCUCCGGGGGUAGAGCACUGUUUCGGCUAGGGGGCCAUCCCGGCUUACCAACCCGAUGCAAACUGCGAAUACCGGAGAAUGUUAUCACGGGAGACACACGGCGGGUGCUAACGUCCGUCGUGAAGAGGGAAACAACCCAGACCGCCAGCUAAGGUCCCAAAGUCAUGGUUAAGUGGGAAACGAUGUGGGAAGGCCCAGACAGCCAGGAUGUUGGCUUAGAAGCAGCCAUCAUUUAAAGANGUGAAGAGGGAAACAACCCAGACCGCCAGCUAAGGUCCCAAAGUCAUGGUUAAGUGGGAAACGAUGUGGGAAGGCCCAGACAGCCAGGAUGUUGGCUUAGAAGCAGCCAUCAUUUAAAGAAAGCGUAAUAGCUCACUGGUCGAGUCGGCCUGCGCGGAAGAUGUAACGGGGCUAAACCAUGCACCGAAGCUGCGGCAGCGAACGUAUCACCCAAGACAACUUUACGGAGUUGACGAUUGACGGAGCGAAGCGACGUCAAAGCGUUCAUUAAAGUCGAGUUGGCUUAGGGAUACGUUC